GAGGACUUCUGGAUUCUUUCAGGCACAGAUGAAGGCAAUGGCUAAACUCCAAGCAGGGAUGUGGCCUGUUCCCAACUGGUGGUUAGAGAAGUUUGCCUGCUUGGUCCGCGGCCCGGAGUAAGGCAAGGCUGUGGGAGAGUCCUCAGGCCCUGGCUGGGUCCCCUAGGGUCUUUCCUUCUCCCUGGAAGAUGCCCCACAGGAUGCCCCUGUCCAGCACCCUAAGUAGCCUCCUGUCCCUGGAACCCCAGAGCCUGAAAGUACACACACCAGAGCCUGGACACCUGAUAGGCUGGGUUUGGAUAACCAGCCUCUGUCACCUAACCCUGCCCUUCCCCAUUGGACCGAGGAGCUAGACUGGCACCCAGAUCCCGAGGGGCAGGGUGCUCUGCAAGCAAUUUUAGGAAACAAUUUGUCUCUCUUCAAGAAUGCGGGCAGGAUACUCAUUUUCAGGCUGCAAAAUCCGAUGCAAUGCAGUCAGCAGGGAAAGCAGAUGGACUCUGCGGAGAAAACACAAGAUGCUGUCUGAGUUAACAAGAUAACAAUUGGAUGUGUUUCUCUCCCCUUCCCCUGCCUCUGUCUUCAACAAGCUCGCAAGUGUUCACAGUUUGCCUUUAAGUAAUUUAGGGAAGGCAUUUGAAGUUCCCAUCUGCCCCAGUCCCUGUACGGCUAUGUUUCUUGUCACCGGCUAACAGCAUUUAAAAUAUUUACAGCUCUUUCUUUGCCCUGAGGGUGUAUCAGAAUAAAUCCUUGUUACCACCAAUAAAUCAAAAAUUAAUCU